AAGACCUUGCGCUUUUGGAGCGGCCGAUGCCUGAUUAGCUUGUUGGUAAGGUAAAAGCUUACCAAGGCUUCGAUCAGUAGCUGGUCUGAGAGGACGGCCAGCCACACUGGGACUGAGACACGGCCCAGACUCCUACGGGAGGCAGCAGUGGGGAAUUUUGGACAAUGGGGGCAACCCUGAUCCAGCCAUGCCGCGUGAGUGAAGAAGGCCUUCGGGUUGUAAAGCUCUUUCAGCCGGAACGAAACGGUUACGGUUAAUACCCGUGAUUACUGACGGUACCGGAAGAAGAAGCACCGGCUAACUACGUGCCAGCAGCCGCGGUAAUACGUAGGGUGCGAGCGUUAAUCGGAAUUACCGGGCGUAAAGCGUGCGCAGGUGGUUUUGUAAGUCAGAUGUGAAAGCCCCGGGCUCAACCUGGGAACU
rnacentral:rRNA from 1 species